UACGGGGGGGGCAAGCGUUGUUCGGAAUUACUGGGCGUAAAGGGCGCGUAGGCGGCCUACUAAGUCGGACGUGAAAUCCCUCGGCUCAACCGAGGAACUGCGUCCGAUACUGGCAGGCUGGAAUCCGGGAGAGGGAUGUGGAAUUCCUGGUGUAGCGGUGAAAUGCGCAGAUAUCAGGAGGAACACCGGUGGCGAAGGCGGAUCUCUGGGCCUGUCCUGACGCUGGAGGCGCGAAAGCUAGGGGAGCGAACAGG
rnacentral:rRNA from 1 species